rnacentral:rRNA from 1 species
UUUUUAAACUGGUUUGGGAAAACCAAAUAUAUUAUAUAUUUUGCUUUGUUCAAAAUAAGGUUUUCUAAUAAAUUAUGUUUUUAUCAGAUAUGACAGAAUCUUUUUUAAAAUCUCUUCAAUAUGCUUUUAUUGCUUUUGAGAGGUUUUGUUACUUUGAGUAAAAUUAAGUGUUCAUAACAGACGGGUAGUCAUGAUUGAGUUCAUUGUGUAA